UUGUAGACAGUGGGCAAAGCAAGCGUCGGGUUCGGAAUCUUGGGGUGUUUGGUCUACGGAUUGCUAAUUACCUUUUCCUCAUCUUCGUCGGGCGGUCGACUUCGUUGUAAAGAUUUGGUUCCGGUGGGUUCGCAUGGUUGGUGUUCUUUCGUGAUCGCAACUGUUCUGUAGCCAUUUUGGUCCGUCGAUUCAACUCCGGUUUUGUAACGGGGGCUGUGAGGGGAAUUGAGAUGGCAGUUUUGAAGGGGGCAACAAUCUGCUGCCCUGAUAUUCGUGCAAAUUACUCUGGAAUUCCUACUCCUCUUAUUUCUAAUAAUAUUACAAAGGCAAUAUGUCUUCAAAGUGGAAUCUGGGGAUACAAACCUAGAUGCAAAAGCAUAGUUCAGGUUGGUAGCUUGUAUGUGCAUCCUUGUAGCAAGAGACAAUGGCGUGUUCACUGUAGUUUCAGCUCUUCUUCUGAUGAUAAUGGAAGCAUGGCUGGCAAUUUCAGUGCAAACGAUGAGGAGUAUGUAAAUUCCAGUGUGAUGGAAGCGGUUGAGGUCAGAAGUGGAUCGGAUGGUUUCAUAAUAAAGAUGCGUGAUGGUAAACAUUUAAGAUGUGUGCAUAAUAAUCCUCAAGGUGGAAAUUUACCAGACUAUGCUCCUCACCCUGCUAUUGUCUUGAAGAUGGAAGAUGGAAGUGAUCUUCUGCUUCCUAUUAUUGUUUUGGAGAUGCCAAGUGUAUUGCUAAUGGCUGCAAUUCGCAACGUCCAAAUUGCUAGGCCAACCGUUUAUCAAGUAAUCAAAGAGAUGAUUGAAAAGAUGGGAUAUGUGGUUCAACUUGUUAGGGUCACCAAGAGGGUAAAUGAGGCUUACUUUGCUCAGCUGUACCUUGCAAAGGUAGGGAAUGAAAAAGAGACUAUUAGCUUUGAUCUCCGACCUUCGGAUGCCAUAAAUAUGGCUGUUCGGUGCAAGGUUCCCAUACAAGUCAACAGAAAUCUUGCAUAUAGUGAUGGGAUGAGAGUGGUCGAGCCAAGCAAGUUGACAGUGCAGGUUCCUCAAUCAGAUGGAGUGCUGUUCACAGAACUUGAUAGGCCUGAUGGUCAGCCAUGCUUGGAGACCAAAGAGUUCAGUUUGAUCCUAAACAUGCUGACUGCUGUUGUUGAGGAACGGUACACCGAUGCUGCUCAAUGGAGGGACCAGCUUCAUCAGCUCCGAUCCAAGAAACAGAACUGGGCAUAACAGCAGUUGAUUGGGAUGAUGUACAUAAUAAACCUGCUUGAACAUGCCUGACACGUGACUUUAUAGAUGAAGUAUACAUAAUGUACACCAGCCGUGUAGCUGAAACAAGAGUAGCGGAGCAGAAGUUAAGAGGACGAAGCGAAGGGAAGCAAGAGGCUUGACGUCUAGUCGGCCAUAAUUGCGCUGUUCAGGGUUGGAAUCAACGUGAAAGAUGAGGAUGAUGAGUCGAUUAGCAAUGGACAUGUUGAUGCGAAUGUUUCUGGUCGUUCUUCCGAGUGAUGAGAUAGAGGUGGGAGUGGCGGGCGCCCCUUCCGCCCGGUGGUGAGGGACGAGGGGUGCCUGUCGCAAGAAGACGAGAACGGCGUGCUCUCCAGCGCAACAAUGGCGGUGAACGGUGCGGGCAGUGCACAGUGUACAGGGCGCAGCAGCAGAAGCAACUUCCCUCCUCUUUUGAUCUGCGUAUUUGGGAUUCGCGUCAGUUCUCCGUCCCUCCCUCUCUCUCCUCUCGGCAACAUAGAGAGAGAAAGAGAAUAAAGCAGAUAGACUCGAAAGGUGCAGAAACAGCUGACGCUCCUUUGUCCCCCACCUCUUCUCUCUCUUAUGUCCUCGGUGUUCCUGAACGCAAGGAUAGGACGCAAGGCAACCGAGAGAGGCGAGCUUUUCACUGCUUCCAGUCUCCUUCCGGGAUGUGGCCUCCGACGCCAGUCCCUGUAUGUCCUCCCACCACUGCAGCGAGGAGGAGGAGGAGGCGGCGGCGCGUGAAGAGAGAAAGGUACCAAGAUGAUGGUGAUUCAGAUCACAACAAUUAUGUGCUCAUAUGAGAUGCCUUCUCGUUCGGUUCUUUUGAUACAAUUAGUUGAUGUGCAUUAGAUGAGGACAUGCUUGGAGGAUUAGGGAAUGAAGCCAUUGGUCCGCAAGACA